AAUCCAUGAUGUGGGCACUUUCUUAGCAUUGUCUUGAAAUUUUCUUAUGCUUUGUACAAAGAUUUACCUUCAUAUUGUUUAAAAUUGGCAAUUUAUCACCUAAGCU
rfam:Gossypium raimondii Chr02_contig_796, whole genome shotgun sequence.